GCUGGGUAUGGUGGUGUGUACAUAUAGUCCCAGCUACUUGGGAGACUGAGGCUAGAGGAUCACUUGAGCCCAGGAGUUGUGGGCUAUAGUGCACUAUGCUGAUCAAGUGUCUACACGAAGUUGUGCAUCAAUGUGACGACCUUAAAGGAGUGAGGGACUCCCGGGUUGACUAAGGUGGGCUGAACUGUCCCAGGCUGAAAAUAGGGCAGAUCAGAACUCCUAGGCUGAUCAGUAGUGUGAUCACACCUGUAAAUAGCCACUGAACUCCAGCCUGGGCAACAUAAGGAGACUCCGUUUCU
rnacentral:SRP_RNA from 1 species